CCAAAUUAUCUUUUAGACAUGACUAAAUAAGUACUGCUCUGGAAAGCAAGUUGCACUCUAAGAGAAUUAAACAUAUAUUUUAUAACUACAUAUAUAUAUUUAAAAAUAUAUACACACACAUAAAAUGAUUUCUCUAGCCUUUUUCUGGGGAAAACAAUGGGAGAUAAAAGAGGAUUGAAAGAACUAAAGGACACUUAUUCUAGCUUCUGCAGUACCGUGGUGAUUUGUUCUAAAGUAAAUUACGAUAAAAGCGACUAAAAANNNNNNNNNNNNNNNNNNNNNNNNNNNNNNNNNNNNNNNNNNNNNNNUUUUGGCCACACUGUCAAAAACAUCGUUUCGUUAGACAGUGAUUUGUAAGUCCUGGAGAAUUACUGGCUUUAUUUUCCUGCCUCAAUAGGCCCCCUAGUUUGAACAAACCAGGAAAACUCCCUAGACUUCUAUUUCCUUGGCAAAAAACGACACCUUUUGCGGUCGUUUCCAAGGGUGACAAUCUGUACUCCACGCUGGUCAUGAGGACCAGACCAUUUACCCAAAGCACUGAAUACCAGACACCCUAAGAGUUCGGGGGUCCUGAAGGUCCCCUCCCGAGUCAGCGCCCCCAAAUACUCGAGAAAGCGGCCCGCGGUCCCGCUCGAAGCAGCGCGGGGAUGGGUACGCGGUGGGCCCCCAUCUCCACCCCGCCCACCCCGCCCCCGGCCCGCAGCUCCCGGGAAGGCCCGGCACUGAAGGCUGGCCCUGGACUGCGGGUGGAUCCCAGAACCCGGAGCCGGUGAAGGGGCUGGGCAUCCCCUGCCCGCGUUCGAGCAGUGGCCCCGCUGAGCGCCUGGGACUGCGGGUAAAGGGCAAGAGGACCGGGCCGCGGAAGGCGUCCGGCCAGUCUCCGUCCACCAGGAAGCCGACUUUUCGUACCUCCCCGGGGACCGAAGACCGCCGGUGCCGCCGCACCCGUCGCCGCCGCCGCUUGCUCAUGGAGAGUCCGUGCCGCCGCCGCCGCCGCCUCAUCUACUAGCACCGCCGGCUGUUUCGGCCUCCCCCGGCGUGAGCGCUGGGCUCCGGUACGGCCUCCAUCGUACCCGCCGCGGCGGGAGCCAGAGCAGCUCCAGCGCCCAGGCCCGAUCCGACCGGACCCACGGAGCCAGGACCGCGGGACGCGUAGCUUCUUAUUACGGAGGAAGAUUCGGCCUGACCUCCUCCCCCCUCCCCCCAACCCCGGGACCUAGUCUCCAGCUGCCUGACGCCGCUGCUGCGCACGCGCGAAGAGGACCCUGCCAAAUGUAAAGAGAAGUCUCGUUGAUGGUGUUGCCUUGGUGGCUGCUGGUGUCGGGGCUAAAAUGUCUGCAAUUCUUUGGGACCUUUUUUCAAGACCUAAAGAAGGAAGAAGGGACAAGAGCAAAGUUCAAAAAUGACUUUGUCAACUGAGUUAAAUUUCCUAUUUUGGAGCUUUUCCGGAAGACAACAACAAAUUCCAUUUCCAUGGCACUGGCCUGUUCUGUCUCAUGACCAUCCCAAUCUUCAAGGGAGGUAGGAGAUAUAGGUCCUGUGUUUUCUUUUCUCUUUUUGAGCACAUGGAUGCUGCCAACAGAAUUGGAAUCCCAUUAAUGGCGAAGAGGAGGAGAGUGGAUAUUGAGUAGAUAACCAGCAGUCUCUGACAAAGUAAAAUAUACCUGAAAGGUAGAUAAAAAUGUCUAUUUGUAGGACUUCCCAGGUGGCACAGUGGUUAAGAGUCUGCCUUGCAAUGCAGGGCAUGUGGGUUCAAACCCUGGUCAGGGAACUAAUAUCCCACAUGCUGUGGGGCUGGAGCCUAUUAUACAGAAUGAAGUAAGCCAGAAAGAAAAACACCAAUA
ensembl:lncRNA